UUUUAUUUUCUCCCACAAAACCUACCACCUCCAUUCUUCGCAUCUUCCAAAACGGAAACCUUCGCAUCUUCCAUCUCGCUCACGAUCUGGUCAAGAUCUCUCUUAAUUUCGGUAUUGUACGUGGUGGUGAAAACGCUUUGGUGGUGGUUUCAAACUCUCUCUCUCUCUCUCUCUCUCUCUCUUCAUUUCGGUACUGUGACUCGGGGAAAACCUUCGCCUUCUCUUCUUUCUGCUUUGGAUUCAAACUGUGCUUGCGAAACAAGAUUGUUUUUUGGAUUCAAACUCUGCUCAAUUCAGAAUAUCUCGUGCUUUUGAUUUUUUCUGCCGAUUCUGCACUGAGCAUUUUUCGUUGACUAUCCUCACUUCUCGUGAAUCAGGAAAUCAUUUGUUAGAGGUAGCUUUAACCACUAGACGUUGAAUCCCUUGUCACGAGUACCUUUGUAGUUGGGUGUUUUUUUGAUGUUUGCGACUACUUUCGCUAUAUGUUCACUGGCCGUACAAUUUUUUUAGUUUUGUAAAUUAGAUGUUCUUCAUGUUUCAGUUUUAAUAGGGGGUGUACAAGUUAUUGCUGAUAAGUGGUGGUUUUUUAGGGGGGUGUGAGCAGCAGAAACAAUAAAUGGAAUAUUAUACAAUAUAAUAUUUUUCAUUAAAAUAUUCCAGCAGGUAAAAAUUGCUUUUUUACCGCCACCUGUCCAAAAAUCUAAGCCUUGUGCAUGGUGCACAAAUCUUCCCCUUGUGCACCCUAAAUGCCACCAAUUUAAAGGAUUAAAAUUGUAAACAGGAAAGAUGGCAAACUUCCAAAGAAAUGGACACUGGAAACAGCUGCUUGUAUGUGGAUAAGACAACAAAAUCAGACGGGUGGUCGGGAUCACGGGCGCUGCACUGAGACAUGUCAUGUCAUCUCCCCUUCCCCCCAAAAAGGCCCCACGUCUCUUAGAUCAAGUCCCAUUUACCAAAUCUUUAAACCUUUUCCUUUGACAACAAAUUAACAAUAACCCAACUCCAUUUCAAUCAAUAAUCUUCAGAUAGCAACACCUCAACUACCCUCUUGCACAAUUAGCACAUGCACCACCUAUGGAAGUGAAAAAGAAGAAGGAAAAAAACACCUGUUUCUAAUUCUUUAAUUAUUUUCUCCUGUAACAAUCCUUCUAACUCCUAAGCAUUAUAGUACAACACUGUUUACUCUCUAAUUAUUUAUCAUUUUUACACUUGUAUCAUUCUUAGUUUCUAUGACUUUGAAUGUAACUCUUGUUUAGGAGAAACUAAGGGGGGUGUAUUGGAUUAGGAUUUUAAAAGACAAUUUUAAUAAAAAAAGUCUUUAAGAUUUUAAAAGACUUUGUGAGAUUGUAUUGAUUCUGUGAGAUUUUAAAAGACUUUUUAUGUAAAAAACU